rnacentral:rRNA from 1 species
UACGGGGGGGGCAAGCGUUGUUCGGAAUUACUGGGCGUAAAGGGCGCGUAGGCGGUUGGAUAAGUCAGCUGUGAAAACCACGGGCUUAACUCGUGGCCUGCAGUUGAGACUGUCCGGCUUGAGUGUGGGAGAGGAGAGUGGAAUUCCUGGUGUAGCGGUGAAAUGCGUAGAUAUCAGGAGGAACACCGGUGGCGAAGGCGGCUCUCUGGACCACAACUGACGCGGAGGCGCGAAAGCUAGGGGAGCAAACAGG